rnacentral:rRNA from 1 species
GAUGAACGCUGGCGGCGUGCUUAACACAUGCAAGUCGAACGGGAUCCAAGGGGUGCUUGCACUUUUUGGUGAGAGUGGCGAACGGGAGAGUCACACGUGAGUAACCUGUCCUUUUCUUUGGGAUAAGCAUUCGAAAGGGUGUUUAAUACCUUAUGUUCUGUCUGCCUCGCAUGGGGUGGGUGGGAAAGGCUUUGGCCGGAUUUGGGUGGGCUCGCGGUCUAUCAGCUUGUUGGUGGGGUGAUGGCUUACCAAGGCUUUGACGGGUAGCCGGCCUGAGAGGGUGGUCGGUCACAGUGGGACUGAGAUACGGCCCAGACUCCUGCGGGAGGCAGCAGUGGGGGAUAUUGCACAAUGGGCGAAAGCCUGAUGCAGCGACGCCGCGUGGGGGAUGAAGGCCAGCGGGUUGUAAACUUCUUUUGCUCUGAACAAGGCAUGCCAGUGUGUGUGUUGAGUGUAGGGGUUGAUUAGCGCCGGCUAACUACGUG